rnacentral:rRNA from 1 species
GACGAACGCUGGCGGCGUGCUUAACACAUGCAAGUCGAACGGAAAGGCCCUGCUUUUGUGGGGUGCUCGAGGGGCGAACGGGUGAGUAACACGUGAGUAACCUGACCUUGACUUUGGGAUAACUUCAGGAAACUGGGGCUAAUACCGGAUAGGAGCUCCUGCUGCAGGGAGGGGGUUGGAAAGUUUCGGCGGUUGGGGAUGGACUCGCGGCUUAUCAGCUUGUUGGUGGGGUAGGGGCUUACCCAGGCUUUGGCGGGUAGCCGGCCUGAGAGGGUGACCGGCCACAUUGGGACUGAGGUACGGCCCAGACUCCUACGGGAGGCAGCAGUGGGGAAUAUUGCCCAAUGGGCGGAAGCCUGAUGCAGCAACGCCGCGUGCGGGAUGACGGCCUUCGGGUUGUAAACCGCUUUCGCCUGUGACGAAGCGUGAGUGACGGUAAUGGGUAAAGAAGCACCGGCUAACUACGUG